UACGUAGGGACCGAGCGUUGUCCGGAUUCAUUGGGCGUAAAGAGCUCGUAGGCGGCCACUCAAGUCGAAUGUGAAACCUCGAGGCUCAACCUCGAGCCUGCAUUCGAUACUGGGCGGCUAGAGUCUGGUAGGGGGAUCUGGAAUUCCUGGUGUAGCGGUGGAAUGCGCAGAUAUCAGGAGGAACACCGGUGGCGAAGGCGGGAUCCUGGACUAAUACUGACACUGAGGUGCGAAAGCGUGGGGAGCAAACAGG
rnacentral:rRNA from 1 species